AUUGAACGCUGGCGGCAUGCCUUACACAUGCAAGUCGAACGGUAACAGGUCUUCGGAUGCUGACGAGUGGCGAACGGGUGAGUAAUACAUCGGAACGUGCCCGAUCGUGGGGGAUAACGAAGCGAAAGCUUUGCUAAUACCGCAUAAGAUCUACGGAUGAAAGCAGGGGACCGCAAGGCCUUGCGCGAACGGAGCGGCCGAUGGCAGAUUAGGUAGUUGGUGGGAUAAAAGCUUACCAAGCCGACGAUCUGUAGCUGGUCUGAGAGGACGACCAGCCACGCUGGGACUGAGACAGGGCCCAGACUCCUACGGGAGGCAGCAGUGGGGAAUUUUGGACAAUGGGCGAAAGCCUGAUCCAGCCAUGCCGCGUGCAGGAUGAAGGCCUUCGGGUUGUAAACUGCUUUUGUACGGAACGAAACGGCUCUGGUUAAUACCUGGGGCUAAUGACGGUACCGUAAGAAUAAGCACCGGCUAACUACGUGCCAGCCGCCGCGGUAA
rnacentral:rRNA from 1 species